CACGGUGUUUAACCGUGAAGGAUGAGAACCGUAAAGGUUCGGGUCAAGCGAAAGCGAGACAACGUUGCCAGCGGCAACGGCCCGAAGGGCGAGGCGUCAGCCGAGUCAUCCUGCACGACCCACCA
rfam:Erwinia sp. Leaf53 contig_6, whole genome shotgun sequence.